ensembl:snRNA U6 U6 spliceosomal RNA
AUCUUAAAAAAAAAGGACAUACAAGAAGAUGGGAACGAUAUAGAGAUGAUUAGCACAGCCCUUGUACAAGGAUAUGUGCAAAUUCAUGAAGCAUUCUGAAAUACU